rnacentral:rRNA from 1 species
UACGAAGGGGGCUAGCGUUGCUCGGAAUCACUGGGCGUAAAGCGCACGUAGGCGGCUUUCUAAGUCAGGGGUGAAAUCCUGGAGCUCAACUCCAGAACUGCCUUUGAUACUGGAGAGCUUGAGUCCGGGAGGGGUGAGUGGAACUCCGAGUGUAGAGGUGAAAUUCGUAGAUAUUCGGAAGAACACCAGUGGCGAAGGCGGCUCACUGGCACGGUACUGACGCUGAUGUGCGAAAGCGUGGGGAGCAAACAGG